rnacentral:rRNA from 1 species
AACGCGAAGAACCUUACCUGGUCUUGACAUGUACGGAAUCCUCCAGAGACGGAGGAGUGCCUUCGGGAGCCGUAACACAGGUGCUGCAUGGCUGUCGUCAGCUCGUGUCGUGAGAUGUUGGGUUAAGUCCCGCAACGAGCGCAACCCUUGUCAUUAGUUGCCAUCAUUUAGUUGGGCACUCUAAUGAGACUGCCGGUGACAAGCCGGAGGAAGGUGGGGAUGACGUCAAGUCCUCAUGGCCCUUAUGACCAGGGCUUCACACGUCAUACAAUGGUCGGUACAGAGGGUAGCCAAGCCGCGAGGUGGAGCCAAUCUCACAAAACCGUUGUAGUCCGGAUUGCACUCUGCAACUCGAGUGCAUGAAGUCGGAAUCGCUAGUAAUCGCAGUCAGC